ensembl:lncRNA
UUACAUUUAUGUUGAAUGUGUUUAAUCACUGACCCAGUCUGCAGUCUGAGGAGUCUGCGGUGGAUCAUAUUACUCAUAACAUUUUAUAAACGCAUUUCCAUAGAUGUGCCCGAAAUGCACUACAAUGAUCAAAACAAUACAUCUUAAUUUUGAAAAUGAAAUUGGUAUAUUAAAAAAAUCUACACUGAGCAGUGAAAAAUGUGUGAAAUAUAUACAAAGUUCAUAUUUGAAAUUAAGUAAAUAAACUGCAGAUACAAGAUACAAACAUCUGAAUAUGCCACAUUUUCUCUCCGUGAACAUCUACACAUUAAAGUAACUGUUCUUCCUGUUCCUCCAGAUCUAUAAGUGACCCUUGCAGAUUAAGAGACACUGUAAUGUUUUCUGGGAUAAAGGUAACAGUUUAGCGGGACAGCUGGGACGUUUGCAUCAUUACUUUUCAGUACAAGAGCCAGGUCUGCUGUGAAAACUAAACAGAGCAAGCGAUGUUACUUUUAUUUCCUGAGAGUCCUGCAGUGCGCUUUUGUAAAACAUCCACCUUUGUGCCAAGUAGAGUUCCUGACGAGGUGACCUGAGGAAAUUCUGGUAAUAUUAAUAUUUCCAGAGAUAACUCAUGGCUGAACAUGAUGGAGUUUGCAGCUCAGUUUUGCAUGAACAGAAAAUACAGCAUAAAAACAAACAAACUUUUAAGCCCUAAGGGCUAAGGAUUUUUAAGAGUUAAGAAUUCACACCAAACCGUCAUCCUUUGAUAAAAAACACUGGACUGGCAACUGUAACAAUCACCCUUCAGCAUGCACGUCAUGAUUUAUUUCACGACUCCACUAUCCAUUUGGACUUUUGAGAUUCCACACAAACUAUAAAUCAUUUUUAUUUCUAUUCCCAUCUUCCAAAAAAGGGAACAAGACUGGCGAGAGGAAUUCACAGAAAAACAAAAAGUACCAAAGUCUUUCUGCCAAACUGCAACAUUAUCAUGCUUUUUAUUAUAUAAACAGAACGGACACAUAAACUGCUUCUUUUCCUCUUAAAGAAGCCGUGAUGCCCCCACUUUCACUUCAAAUUCAUCAUAAUCUUGCUGGCACUGAAGAAGACAAAGAAACAAAAUACACCGACCUUGCCAAUACAAAAACUGCUCAUGAAGAUUUAAAAAAAAAAAAAAAAAAAUAGCAGUAAAGCAAAAAACAAGCAACCACAAACAUUUUUAUGUGUUUUCAAGCUUUGAACUAAGAGACAGUGGCGAGAGAAUUAAACUGGGGUUGAGAUUAUCUCAUAUUUGAAAUAACUAAGGAUCGGUUUGAUUAUCUCUAUGGUCACAGUCUAGGUCAAACCAAGUACCACUGCGUGUUUCCAAAUGUCAACAUGCUGCAAAACACUGGCAGAUUAUCAAAUGGAAAAAAAAAAAAAUCCCUGUAGUCAAUUUUGCUGGAAAAACCUUAACAAUGAUUAUCCAUAAAAGCCCCACUGUGCGUCUAACUCUACACCAGCACGACAAACAAGGUGACUAUUGGAAAUAGCAGCUCACCUCUAAUCACUGUCUGCUUUUAAAAUUUCAGUGGCUAUUGCUCUUUGGCAGUGUCCUAGCUUUUAUUAUUUUAAGUGUACUGUGCUCUUGUCUUAUUGUGAUUUGAGGUGGUGUGUUGGUGUGUAAAGGGCAAUCAUUUUUUUCUAAAAUAUCCAUCAAACUGCACACACACACACACACACACACACACUUUCACGCACGCAAAGUGAAAACACCGACACUGAGCAUGCACACAAAGUAUGCUGGGGCAGGCUACAACCCUUCCAAAUACAGAAAGAAAAUAUCAUUUGCAUCCCUACUGUGCACACAUCAUAACUAAACUAUCAAAAACAUGCUCAUAGGUAAAAAAAAAAAGGUACUCAUGCGCACCUACACAUGCAGGAUCACACACACACACACACAUACAUUCACACGCACACACGUACCACUCAGCAAUAUGGCAAGGUUAGUCAUUGUAAAAGUGCGGAUUAGUCGCAGUUUCACAAAGUUAUUUUUAUUUGCCAUUUAGUAUUGGGAUAUUUUUGCCAGUCACAGACACUUAAUUUCACAGUGCAACACAGUAUGACAAACACUGACAUUAGGGUCAAACCAUAUCAUAUGGGUGAGGUUAAAAAAAAAAUCCAUACAAAAACAAAAUAUAGGUAAAAUAAAUUUUUUUUAAAAAGUGCAAAAAAACAACUUAACAGUCACUGAAAAUAGCAUUAAUUCAUUUUUUGUGUUAAGUGUGCGAAUUUAAAUCCACUAUAUAAAAAAACAAAACAAAAACAAAAACAAGAAUCAUCAGUAGCAGCAAAAAAAGGACCAGUUUUAAAACAUUAUAAAGAUCACAAUGACACUGCCAAUCACUGUUUUACUUAAGAUAUUGAUAUGGCAUCAAAUGGAUAUCAGUACGAAUGUAGACAAACACAUACACACUCACACACAUACAAAAAAACAAACAAACACACACACUUGGUCACAGUUAACAGGUGCCAAAGGACAUCGCGGUGGGAGUCAAGUUUUAGCUCGGUACCAUAUCAAAAACAAUACACAUUUCACGGACUGUUAACACAGAAUGCCGAAGUAAGGAUUUAUAAACUGCACAUGCACACACGUGCGCGCGUGCACAUUCACACGCACAAAACUGCACAGAGACAACUAAAAAUGUGAUUUUCUUGGUAAUAUUUCCUCCCCCUCUGGAGAGAAAACAAAUGUGUUAGCCCUAAUCCUCCCUUCCUAGAGGAAUGGUUGCUGUGAAGCCAAGAGGAAAAGAUGCUUAGUUUUUUUCCCUCCUGCUCUCUUACUCUGGUUUGAUCAGGUAGAAAAUGUGACAGGAAUACGUCUGAUAGAUAGAAAGCUCUGUGAAGCAGCACUCUGGUCAAAAAUGAAGGUAGGAAACACAGAUGAAGAUAGCUAGAUUAUCUUACAGUUAAGUAUUGUUUCAGUGACUAUGGAUGAAGUAAUUUAUACUGAAUCCUAUUCCCCGGAAAAGAAAUGUAUCACCCAGAAAAUGAACAGAAUUUAGACACCUGUCGGUCCCUAACUACAUGUAGUAGGUCUUAAAAAGUCUAAAUUAUAGUGCCACCUACAGUCUGUUACAUGUACUGAAUGUACAGCAUGUGCAAGUUAAAGUGUGAGAGUCUGUGUUCGUUGGUCUGUCUCUGUCGGUCAAGAAUUACUCUUAAGUUUAAGAAUCCCAUUAAAAUCUCAGCUGUCCCUGUCCUCAAAGCCAAGUAACAGACCUUUCUGUGGCUCUUUUUUCCCUUCCUUAUUACUGAAUUCCCUCCGUUUCUUUCCCUGAACUCACUCUAUGCUGGUAUCUUUCCCUGCCUCUCCUCUUUCCCAUCCUGUCUCUCCCUCCAUCUCUCCUCCGUCUCCUUCUCUCUGUCCCUCUCUAUCUGUCCCUACCAGUUAGUUUUUCUGUGUCAGGUCCCUGCCUAGUUAAUCUAGAGGUGUCCUCCC